GACGUAGGAGGCGAGCGUUGUCCGGAUUCAUUGGGCGUAAAGAGCACGCAGGCGGUUUGGCAAGUCGGAUGUGAAAACCCGGAGCUCAACUCCGGACCUGCAUCCGAAACUGCCCGACUAGAGGUAGGUAGGGGAGACUGGAAUUCCUGGUGUAGCGGUGAAAUGCGCAGAUAUCAGGAGGAACACCGAUGGCGAAGGCAGGUCUCUGGGCAUUAACUGACGCUGAGGAGCGAAAGCAUGGGGAGCGAACAGG
rnacentral:rRNA from 1 species